UACGGGGGGGGUAAGCGUUGUUCGGAUUCACUGGGCUUAAAGGGCGCGUAGGCGGCUUGCCAAGUCAGGGGUGAAAUCCUCCGGCUUAACCGGAGAAGUGCUUUUGAUACUGGCGAGCUUGAGGGAGGUAGGGGCAGGCGGAACUUCCGGUGGAGCGGUGAAAUGCGUAGAUAUCGGAAGGAACGCCGGUGGCGAAAGCGGCCUGCUGGACCUCUUCUGACGCUGAUGCGCGAAAGCCAGGGGAGCGAACGGG
rnacentral:rRNA from 1 species